AGCCUAGUAGUUAGAGUGUAGAGGCGGCAGGUAGCCUAGUAGUUAGAGUGUAGAGGCGGCAGGUAGCCUAGUGGUUAGAGUGUAGAGGAGGCAGGUAGCCUAGUGGUUAGAGUGUAGAGGCGGCAGGUAGCCUAGUGGUUAGAGUGUAGGGGCGGCAGGUAGCCUAGUGGUUAGAGUGUAGGGGCGGCAGGUAGCCUAGUGGUUAGAGUGUAGGGGCGGCAGGUAGCCUAGUGGUUAGAGUGUAGGGGCGGCAGGUAGCCUAGUGGUUAGAGUGUAGGGGCGGCAGGUAGCCUAGUGGUUAGAGUGUAGAGGGGGCAGGUAGCCUAGUGGUUAGAGUGUAGGGGUGACAGGUAGCCUAGUGGUUAGAGUGUAGGGGUGACAGGUAGCCUAGUGGUUAGAGUGUAGGGGUGACAGGUAGCCUAGUGGUUAGAGUGUAGGGGCGGCAGGUAGCCUAGUGGUUAGAGUGUAGAGGCGGCAGGUAGCCUAGUGGUUAGAGUGUAGAGGCGACAGGUAGCCUAGUGGUUAGAGUGUAGAGGCGACAGGUAGCCUAGUGGUUAGAGUGUAGAGGCGGCAGGUAGCCUAAUGGUUAGAGUGUAGAGGCGACAGGUAGCCUAGUGGUUAGAGUGUAGAGGCGGCAGGUAGCCUAGUGGUUAGAGUGUAGAGGCGACAGGUAGCCUAGUGGUUAGAGUGUAGGGGCGGCAGGUAGCCUAGUGGUUAGAGUGUAGAGGCGACAGGUAGCCUAGUGGUUAGAGUGUAGAGGCGACAGGUAGCCUAGUGGUUAGAGUGUAGAGGCGGCAGGUAGCCUAGUGGUUAGAGUGUAGAGGCGGCAGGUAGCCUAGUGGUUAGAGUGUAGAGGCGGCAGGUAGCCUAGUGGUUAGAGUGUAGGGGUGACAGGUAGCCUAGUGGUUAGAGUGUAGGGGUGACAGGUAGCCUAGUGGUUAGAGUGGAGGGGCGGCAGGUAGCCUAGUGGUUAGA